rnacentral:rRNA from 1 species
GAUGAACGCUCGCUACAGGCUUAACACAUGCAAGUCGAGGGGAAACGGCAUUGAGUGCUUGCACUCUUUGGACGUCGACCGGCGCACGGGUGAGUAACGCGUAUCCAACCUUCCCAUUACUGUGGGAUAACCUGCCGAAAGGCAGACUAAUACCGCAUAGUCUUCGAUGACGGCAUCAGAUUUGAAGUAAAGAUUUAUCGGUAAUGGAUGGGGAUGCGUCUGAUUAGCUUGUUGGCGGGGUAACGGCCCACCAAGGCUACGAUCAGUAGGGGUUCUGAGAGGAAGGUCCCCCACAUUGGAACUGAGACACGGUCCAAACUCCUACGGGAGGCAGCAGUGAGGAAUAUUGGUCAAUGGACGGAAGUCUGAACCAGCCAAGUAGCGUGCAGGAUGACGGCCCUAUGGGUUGUAAACUGCUUUUGUAUGGGGAUAAAGUUAGGGACGUGUCCCUAUUUGCAGGUACCAUACGAAUAAGGACCGGCUAAUUCCGUG